ensembl:lncRNA
GUAUAACUGUAUUUAUUUCCCCCAAUUUGAACUACAAAAUUGUGAUUUUCUUGAGUCAAAAUGAGAGGACCCCUAAACUUUUUAUAGAAAAAAAGCAUUGAUUAUUAUUGUUGUUGUUGAGUCUAGUCAUGUCCGCCUCUUCGUGACCCCAUGGACCAGAGCAUGCCAGGCACUUCUGUCUUCCACUGCCUCCCACAGUUUGGUCAGACUCAUGUUUAUAGCUUCCAGAACACUGUCCAGCCAUCUCAUCCUCUGUCGUCCCCUUCUCCUUGUGCCCUCCAUCUUUCCCAGCAUCAGGGUCUUUUCCAGGGAGACAUCUCUUCUCAUGAGGUGGCCAAAGUCUUGGAGCCUCAGCUUCAGGAUCUGUCCUUCCAGUGAGCACUCAGGGCUGAUUUCCUUCAGAAUGGAGAGGUUUGAUCUUCUUGCAGUCCAUGGGACUCUCAAGAGUCUCCUCCAGCACCAGAAUUCAAAAGCAUCCAUUCUUCGGCGAUCAGCCUUCUUUAUGGUCCAGCUCUCACUUCCAUACAUCACUACUGGGAAAACCAGAGCUUUAACUAUACGGACCUUUGUUGGCAAGGUGAUGUGAUGAUUAUUAAUUGUUGUUAUUAUUAAUCAAAUUUGCAUAAGGCCAGAGGUCCCAGUGCGGUUCACAGAAUCCCAGUAAGGAAAGCUAAGAAUCGGGAGGAGGGAAAGAUGAGCUCCUGCUGGAUUGGAAGAGACGGAAAAACCUCGCAGCCCCCCAACUCCUGCGCAGCUGUCCUGUCCCCGAGACCCCCAGGAGGCGGGGUCCGGGCUCCUGGCCCGCCCGCUGCUCCCCGCCGCCCUCUGCCCAUGCCCAGAGGCGCCCUGCCCUCCGCGGGCUCCCCGCGCACGCGCAGAGAGGCCUCAGCCGCACCUGGGAGGUGCCGGGGGGCGGGGCUGGCAGGUGGGGGCGGAGACUGCGGCGGGAGGGGGCCCGCCCCGUGGGCGUGGCCUGGCCGGGCGGCGGCGGCGGAGGAAGGAAAAUGGCGGCUCGGCGGCGGCAGCGGAGGCGGCGACACUCAGGUGCCCGGCGGGGGGGGGGGCGAGAGGAGAGAGAGGGGGGGUGGGGGGCAUCGCCCCGGGGGGGGGGGGAUCGGGCCCCACCGCGGGCAGGAUCGGGGGUCCCGGGAGGAGGGGAGGGGGGCUCCCUCUGGCGCCCCCCCUUUCCACCCCCUCCUUCCAAGGGGGGGCAGAGUCUGGUGCGCCUCUCUGUCCGUGGGGUGGGGGGGGGCUGCUGCUGGGCCUCGGAGCCCCCCUCCCCAUCUCCCCCCCUCCUGCCACGAGGCCCCACCCUGGAGAACACAGCCCCCUCCCCUCCCCCGCGUCUCCAGGGUCGCGCCUCGCGGGGGGGGGUCUGUCUAUUUGUGGAGCCCCCUCCCUCCAUCCCUCCCUCCCCAGAUGCGUAAGCGGAGGGAGAGGGAUGCCUUCCCUUUCUUCCCCCCCCCUCCGAGGAGGCUCCUGGGGCAAAGCUUCUUUGGGGGGGGGCUGCUCCGUCCCUCAGGUGGGGGGGGAUCCCCGGCCUGCAGACCCCCGGGUGGGGGGGUCCUUAGGGCCAAGGGUCGCCCUCCCCUCGCCUCCCUGGAAGGAGAGAGCAGGGAGGGUUGGCAGCCGCCCCCCCCCGUGGGCCUCCCCCUCCUGCAACAGGGGGUGAUCUCCGUGCUGAUCUACCUGGUGGGGAGGGGUGGUCUGUGGGACCCCCCCAGGGCAGAAAGAGGGCUUUGGGUGGAAGAGGACCAGGGGUGGGGUGGGGGCGCCAGCAAAGGGGAUUUCGCCCUGACCCCCCCUUCCUGCUCUCCUUUCCCCCAUAGCUGCUGUCUGGAUGGGACCCGAACCCUAGGAGCCUACUCUGCAAGGCCGGGGCUUCCUCCAAAGCAGCAUGGCGCCCCCCUGGCCACAAGGACCUGCCGCCCCCCCUCCUUGCCCGCCCCGUGCCCAGCAGCCGCCCUCGGAGGAGCCAGUCCAGCGCACGGCUGCCUGUGA